rnacentral:sRNA from 1 species
UAAAAAGAAACAAAAUCUGGCUUGCAA